GUGAAAUGGACUGAGAAAUAUAAGAGAAGUAACAGUUUGAAAACUCAGGGUCAAAAAGAAAACUGAGUGUAGAAGAUCAUUUUUCAGGUUGACCACACAGACUAUGGCAUCAGACAGCCUGGGUCCAAACCCAGCUGCACCACAUGACCAUACUGAAGCUACUCUGAGCCUUGGUGUCCACAUCUGUGCCUACCUUAUCCAGCUGCUCUGAAAUGUUUCAGGAGGUAGGAGUAAAGAUCUUUCUGUCUUGAACCCUGUCACUUUACGAGUCCAAUGCAGUCCUAUGGUCAGGAGGCCAGAUUGUUCCUAUUGUCCCUGGAAGGCCCUGGGUUUCAAAAUCCACUUCUUGAAAAAGAAAUAGGUUUUAGAGAAAAACUCAAUGAAAUUGAAGACCCCAAAAUGUGUGCAGUGAGCGACAUUUUUUUUUCCAGUAGGUAUUGGUAAAAUUUAAACUGAAUUAUUUGAGUUUAAACCUUUUUUGUAUCCAUGUGAAUAAUUACUAACCAGUCAUUAUCUAGUCAGGAACAUCAAACAUUUGCUAUUCAAAGAAACUCAAUUUAAUAAGGGAAUAAUAUUUUCCAUUUAUGCUGGUUUUCUGUUUAAUGCAUGUUUGGGUCACAUGUUAGAAGAAGAAACAACAAAAAUUUGGCAUUUGAAUUUCAGUCAUGUUCUACAUCCUGAGGGAGAACAAUUCAUGUU